rnacentral:rRNA from 1 species
UACGAAGGGGGCAAGCGUUGCUCGGAAUUACUGGGCGUAAAGGGCGCGUAGGCGGAUAUUUAAGUCGGGGGUGAAAGCCCAGGGCUCAACCCUGGAAUUGCCUUCGAUACUGGAUAUCUUGAGUUCGGGAGAGGUGAGUGGAAUGCCGAGUGUAGAGGUGAAAUUCGUAGAUAUUCGGCGGAACACCAGUGGCGAAGGCGACUCACUGGCCCGAUACUGACGCUGAGGCGCGAAAGCGUGGGGAGCAAACGGG